UACGAAGGGGGCUAGCGUUGCUCGGAAUCACUGGGCGUAAAGGGUGCGUAGGCGGGUCUUUUAAGUCAGGGGUGAAAUCCUGGAGCUCAACUCCAGAACUGCCUUUGAUACUGAAGAUCUUGAGUUCGGGAGAGGUGAGUGGAACUGCGAGUGUAGAGGUGAAAUUCGUAGAUAUCAGGAAGAACACCCGUGGCGAAGGCGGCUUUCUGGGACGGUACUGACGCUGAGACGCGAAAGCGUGGGGAGCGAACAGG
rnacentral:rRNA from 1 species